rnacentral:misc_RNA from 1 species
GUUGCUACGUUUGAUUCUGUUUGUAGGUGUGGAAUUUUGCUGGAAUGUUUAUCCUUCCAACAACUUUUCAUCUGCACUACUUCUAUUUCUACAUUUAGUUAUCCUCUGGGGUCAAUGGUCUUCUCCAUCUAAGUAUCCUUACAAGGAUGAUCAACUGUCAACUAAAGAGAAGCACAGAUGAGGUGUCUUUAACCCCACCCGCCCACCAUCAUUUUCCUCUUUUUUUUUUUUUUCAAAAUUUAUUACUCUUUCCAUAGAAUUUACCUCUCCUCUUUUCUGUACUUGUUUGAUUACCUGAAUAUUUAGCCUACA